GACGUAGGGGGCGAGCGUUGUCCGGAUUUAUUGGGCGUAAAGCGCGCGUAGGCGGCUGCGCAAGUCGGUUGUGAAACCCCGGGGCUCAACCCCGGAACUGCAUCCGAUACUGCGUGGCUAGAGGUAGGUAGGGGAGAUCGGAAUUCCUGGUGUAGCGGUGAAAUGCGCAGAUAUCAGGAGGAACACCGAUGGCGAAGGCAGCUUCUUGGCUCAUUUCUGACGUUGAGGUACGAAAGCGUGGGGAGCAAACAGG
rnacentral:rRNA from 1 species